UCGUAGCGACUGCGGAGGACAUUAAUGAAUUUUGAAAGGGGUUGUAGCUGGCCGUCUCUUUGGGGCGGCAUGGGGACCCCCUGGUCACUAUCCCUCCCACACCCCUGGGGACACCCUGGAAGGUGGCUUGGGAUUGGAACUUACAGUCUUCAUUGACUUUGCUCUGGUUGGAGGCCCUCCUAUGUAUUAUCACAAACUACUUCAGUUUAAAGAAUGUACUCUUGCGUCUAACGCAUUUAAAUACAACUUUCAGCAACGGAUCUCUUGGCUCUCGCAUCGAUGAAGAACGCAGCGAAAUGCGAUAAGUAAUGUGAAUUGCAGAAUUCAGUGAAUCAUCGAAUCUUUGAACGCACCUUGCGCUCCUUGGUAUUCCGAGGAGCAUGCCUGUUUGAGUGUCAUGGAAUUCUCAACUCUAUUUGCUUUUGUGAAUAGAGCUUGGAUUUGGAGGUUUAUUGCUGGUACUUGUGAUCGGCUCCUCUUGAAUGCAUUAGCUCGAACCUUUGCGGAUCAGCUAUCGGUGUGAUAAUUGUCUACGCCGUUGCAGUGAAGCAUAUCAAUGGGCUCGGCUUCCAAUCGUCCUUUACUGGACAAUGACUUUGACCUCUGACCUCAAAUCAGGUAGGAUUACCCGCUGAACUUAAGCAUAUCAAAA
rnacentral:rRNA from 1 species